rnacentral:tRNA from 1 species
GCAGGUAUAGCUCAGUGGUAGAGCACGUGCUUAGCAUGCACGAGGUCCCAGUUUCAAUCCCCAGUACCGCCA